UGUCCAGAGAUGGGAAUCGAACCCACAAUGUUCCGCUUACCGGGCAGAUGCCAUGUCCACUAGGCUACCCUGGC
rnacentral:tRNA from 1 species